rnacentral:tRNA from 1 species
GCCCCCGUAGUAUAAAUAUUACCCUGAUCUUGUAAAUCAAAAAUGGAAAGUCACUCUCCCGGGGACA